GCCGAGGACGAGGCGGCUGCCCUUGCCUUGUAAACAGAAGGUCAGGGGUUCGACUCCCCUCGUCGGCU
rnacentral:tRNA from 1 species